UGGCACAGUGGUUUAAGCAUUUGACUGCUAACCAAAAGGAUGGUAGUUUGAAUCUACC
rnacentral:tRNA from 1 species